rnacentral:rRNA from 1 species
GACGGGGGGGGCAAGUGUUCUUCGGAAUUACUGGGCGUAAAGUGUGCGCAGGUGGCCGAGCAAGUCGAGUGUGAAAUCCCCGAGCUUAACUUGGGAAUUGCGCUCGAAACUACUUGGCUCGAGUGUGGCAGAGGAAGGUGGAAUUCCACGUGUAGCGGUGAAAUGCGUAGAGAUGUGGAGGAACACCGAUGGCGAAGGCAGCCUUCUGGGCCAACACUGACGCUCAUGCACGAAAGCGUGGGGAGCAAACAGG